UACGUAGGGUGCGAGCGUUGUCCGGAAUUAUUGGGCGUAAAGAGCUCGUAGGCGGUGUGUCACGUCGUUCGUGAAAACCUGCAGCUUAACUGUGGGCGUGCGGUCGAUACGGGCAUCACUGGAGUUCGGCAGGGGAGACUGGAAUUCCUGGUGUAGCGGUGGAAUGCGCAGAUAUCAGGAGGAACACCAAUGGCGAAGGCAG
rnacentral:rRNA from 1 species